AGAAAUAUAGUUUAUAUAAAAUAUUUAUUUUGCAGAUAAAUGAAGAAAUUAAUUUUUCUAUUUUUA
rnacentral:tRNA from 1 species